UACGUAGGGGGCAAGCGUUGUUCGGAAUUACUGGGCGUAAAGGGCUCGUAGGCGGCCAACUAAGUCACACGUGAAAUCCCCAGGCUCAACCUGGGAACUGCGUGUGAUACUGGAUGGCUUGAAUUCGGGAGAGGGAUGCAGAAUUCCAGGUGUAGCGGUGAAAUGCGUAGAUAUCUGGAGGAAUACCGGUGGCGAAGGCGGCAUCCUGGACCGACAUUGACGCUGAUGAGCGAAAGCUAGGGGAGCAAACGGG
rnacentral:rRNA from 1 species